UGGGACUUAUCCUACUAAAUCUUGUCACGCAGAAACAUAUUCCACCUAGAUAAAGAAUGCUAGGUCAGAGAAUUUUAAGGUGAUGCUUCCAAGGAGGACACGACGUCGAAGACACCAUCGCCACCAUUCUAGCCAGCACGUAAUCUUACAGAAAGUCCAAAAAUAAAUACCUCAGGGGAGGAAAACGAUGCCGCUGUUGCUGACACCGACGUAACAGUCGGGUAGGAGUUUCGAGUCUGUUCGCUUCAGCUUAUAAGCCGGCUGAAAAGCUGAAACGGCUGAUUUGUUGUGAGAGGAAAAUACUAUUUGGUGGCUGAUAAGCCACCUGAAUAAGCUGAAGCGAAUAUACCCUUCGUCCGAAACUCCUGCACAACCACGUCAUUACCGUGGCAAAAUCUAUGGACCACCGUACCACCGCCCAUGCCGGCAUAGCCAACACUGCCCGCUGCCCGCUAUCACCGUCAACGAUCUGCAAUAAGGUGCCCACAACUGAGUAGCACCGCCCGAGCACCACCGCCAGCAAUAGCCGCCAUGCUCCAGCGGGACACCCAGUGCCGGUGAUGUGCCCAUCGCCGCCCAUCUCCAUGUCGCGCGCAGGGCGUCACGCGAAGUCCGGAACCGGCGGAGGCCAACGCGUCAGCGCGGCCACCGGUAGUCGACGACAGCCCCCGCACACGCGUCAGCGCGGCCACCGGUAGCCGACGGCAGCUCCACCCCGCGGUUUGGGGGCGCAGCGGUGACCAUGGCCACCCAGCGUGGGAGGAGACGACCAAGGGGCUGGUCCCACCAAGGAGAUCGUAGAUCCGGCGGAGGGACAGGCAGAUCCGGUGGAGGGAUAGGCAGAUGCAGUGGAGGAACACGCGGCUCCGGCCUCGAAACGGCCGGAAUCGGCCUGUCCCGGCGGUGGCAGUGGGUGAGCUCACCGAGAGAUUUUGGGCUGGGUGAGGGAGGAAGGGGAGGGAUGGAGGGGCGUGACGUGGCGCAGCCGCUGGCCGCCAC
rnacentral:lncRNA from 1 species